rnacentral:rRNA from 1 species
UGGAGUCGUUGUUGAAAUACCACUCUGAUCGGAUUGAGCAUCUAACCUUGGCCCAUGAUCUGGGUUGGGGACAGUGCCUGGUGGGUAGUUUAACUGGGGCGGUUGCCUCCCAAAAUGUAACGGAGGCGCCCAAAGGUUCCCUCAGCCUGGUUGGCAAUCAGGUGGUGAGUGUAAGUGCACAAGGGAGCUUGACUGUGAGACAGACAUGUCGAGCAGGGACGAAAGUCGGAACUAGUGAUCCGGCACCACCAUGUGGAAGGGGUGUCGCUCAACGGAUAAAAGGUACCCCGGGGAUAACAGGCUGAUCUUCCCCAAGAGUCCAUAUCGACGGGAUGGUUUGGCACCUCGAUGUCGGCUCGUCGCAUCCUGGGGCUGGAGUAGGUCCCAAGGG